rnacentral:rRNA from 1 species
UACGAGGGGGGCAAGCGUUGUUCGGAUUUACUGGGCGUAAAGGGCGCGUAGGCGGUCAGCACAAGUCAGUUGUGAAAUCUCCGGGCUUAACUCGGAAAGGUCAACUGAUACUGUGCGACUAGAGUGCGGAAGGGGCAACUGGAAUUCUCGGUGUAGCGGUGAAAUGCGUAGAUAUCGAGAGGAACACCUGCGGCGAAGGCGGGUUGCUGGGCCGACACUGACGCUGAUGCGCGAAAGCCAGGGGAGCGAACGGG